AAUAGAUACCCAGGUAGUCCACGCCGUAAACGAUGAGUGCUAAGUGUUAGAGGGUUUCCGCCCUUUAGUGCUGCAGCAAACGCAUUAAGCACUCCGCCGUGGGGAGUACAGUCGCAAGACUGAAACUCAAAGGAAUUGACGGGGGCCCGCACAAGCGGUGGAGCAUGUGGUUUAAUUCGAAGCAACGCGAAGAACCUUACCAGGUCUUGACAUCCUUCGCUACUUCUAGAGAUAGAAGGUUCCCCUUCGGGGGACGGAGUGACAGGUGGUGCAUGGUUGUCGUCAGCUCGUGUCGUGAGAUGUUGGGUUAAGUCCCGCAACGAGCGCAACCCUUGACCUUAGUUGCCAGCAUUUAGUUGGGCACUCUAAGGUGACUGCCGGUGACAAACCGGAGGAAGGUGGGGAUGACGUCAAAUCAUCAUGCCCCUUAUGACCUGGGCUACACACGUACUACAAUGGAUGGUACAAAGGGCUGCAAGACUGCGAAGUCAAGCCAAUCCCAUAAAAACCAUUCUCAGUUCGGAUUGCAGGCUG
rnacentral:rRNA from 1 species